GCCGGGUGUAGUGGCGUGCACCUGUAGUCCCAGCUACUUGGGAGGCUGAGACAGAAGAAUUGCUUGAACCUGGGCAGCGGAGGUUGCAGUGAGUCAAGAUUGUGCCACUGCGCUCCAGCCUGGGCAACAGAGCAAGACUCUGUCUCAA
rnacentral:SRP_RNA from 1 species